CCAGUCGUUCUGGUAGCUACCCCACAAAGAGGUAAGAAUUUUGAAUAAUUAGAUCUCUCAUAAAAUGCGAAACAAUCAUCCGAUUCCUUCUAAAAUUCGCGACUUGAAUAACACAAGAUCUGAUGUGACGAUUACAGAUACGAACCAACUCCUUCUGGUACCUUCCCUAAAAAGAAUUUCAAUUUUCUAUAACAGCCUGUUCCACGAUCUCGAAAGAAAAUUUGUGCGAACGAAGGCUACUCACUCACUUUCGCAUAAGAAUGCGUUCCACUAACUUUCGUUCUUUCUUUCGCAUAGCCUCACGUGAUUCAGUGUUGCAAAAUAUUUUUUGGCAAAAUUAAUCGCGAAAUAAGGCAAAAAAAAGCGCCAAAUGUCUAAUUUAAACGCGAAAAAGCAGCAGUGGCUCUGUCUCAACUGACAGUUCAGUUGUAAACAAACAAAUUGUAAAUAAACAAACAAAAUAAAAUUUCUAGUGAUUGUGUUCAGAUUAUUUGUGUUCUUAAAAAAGAAAAAAAAUGUAUAUUUCUGUAGCCCUAUUUUUUAUGGAUGAUGAGGAGGAGGUUCAAAUUGUGCCACGGAGGCAUUUAAGAGAUGCUUCGAAUUUAUUUGAAGUACCUAACAACCAGUUUGUGUCUUCCAGUGGUCUUCAUGGGAUUGCCUGCUGCUUCCAAAAAUUGGCACUCCUCUGCCGAACUUAGGAUUCUCCCCCAUAUACUCAACUAGUGCCCGCAGCUGUGUAGUUUUUUCGUGCUGGAAUUGAGAAAAUAAAAAAAUGUAUAUUUGUUGUUCACAGAUUAAAUUGCAUUUAUUAUUUUUACUUA